rnacentral:rRNA from 1 species
GACAGAGGGUGCAAACGUUGCUCGGAAUUACUGGGCGUAAAGCGCGUGUAGGUGGAUUGGUGUGUCAGAUGUGAAAUCCCUGGGCUCAACCCAGGAACUGCACCUGAAACUACCAGUCUUGAGUGGUGGAGAGGGAAGUGGAAUUCCUGGUGUAGAGGUGAAAUUCGUAGAUAUCAGGAGGAACACCAGUGGCGAAGGCGGCUUCCUGGACACCAACUGACGCUGAGGAGCGAAAGUGCGGGGAGCGAACAGG